AUCCAUCUGAUCAGUCCCAAAUAGGACGAACACGCGUCUUGGAU
rnacentral:hammerhead_ribozyme from 1 species